AACGAACGCUGGCGGCAUGCCUAACACAUGCAAGUCGAACGAGACCUUCGGGUCUAGUGGCGCACGGGUGCGUAACGCGUGGGAAUCUGCCCUUGGGUUCGGAAUAACAGCGAGAAAUUGCUGCUAAUACCGGAUGAUGACGUAAGUCCAAAGAUUUAUCGCCCAAGGAUGAGCCCGCGUAGGAUUAGCUAGUUGGUGAGGUAAAGGCUCACCAAGGCGACGAUCCUUAGCUGGUCUGAGAGGAUGAUCAGCCACACUGGGACUGAGACACGGCCCAGACUCCUACGGGAGGCAGCAGUGGGGAAUAUUGGACAAUGGGCGAAAGCCUGAUCCAGCCAUGCCGCGUGCAGGAAGAAGGCCCUCUGGGUUGUAAACUGCUUUUGAUAGGGAACAAAUGCCACUUGCGAGUGGAGCUGAGUGUACCUAUAGAAUAAGCACCGGCUAACUCCGUGCCAGCAGCCGCGGUAA
rnacentral:rRNA from 1 species